rnacentral:lncRNA from 1 species
AAGUGGGGGUCAUAGGGUCUCUGGAGGGUGUGUGAGAUGAGGCCUCCCUGUCCCUCUUCCCAGCCCUCACGUGUGGUCCUCAAGAGGCCACCUAAGGACCCAGGCGUGCUGUUAAUUGAGAGAGGACAGCAGCUCUGGCUGAGAUCAGGAUGCUCACCGUGGGUGGGGAGUUCCAGGGACUGGAGGCAGCAAGGGAGAUGUGGGGAGGCCACUGUGAGCAUCCUGUGGCCAGCCAGGCAGUGUCAGAGCUGGACGAGGCCGUGUGCUGUGAGUGGGGGACAGUGCCUUAUCCCUGAUCUCUAACAGACCACCCAAGCUCAGGGACGUGAAACAAGAACUGUUUCAUUGUGCCUCAGGCUCCGUGGACAGACAUCAGGAGGGCAGAGCAGGGAGGCCCCGUGACAGGGUGUUACAGGAAGGCUGGUGAGAGGUGUGACUUUGGUGGCUGGGUGUGAAAUUCUCUGGAGGCUUCCUCACCCCGAUGUGUGGCAGCCAGGCUGGGGGACCCCAAAUUUGGGCUCCAUUGGGGCUGUUAAUGUAGAUCCCACACCUGACUUCUCCAGGUGACUCGGGCUUCCUCAGAGCGUGGGCAUCAGGGAGGGGAAGUGAUAGUUUUUCAUGGUGCCUCAGAGCCUCAUGAGAGGGUAUUUGCAGUGAUAAUGCAGAAGCCUUUUAUGACAUCAGCUCAGAAGUCACACUGUGUCACUUUCACUAUGCUGGGUCAGCUCAGGUUCCAAGGGAGAACACAGACCUGGUUCUCAGAGGAGUAGGCUGGGCUUGGCCUUCUGUGACCCGCUGCAGGCUAGCACUUGGGCUGGCAGUUUCCAGUUGAUGGGCACUUGGGCUGUUUCCAAGCUUUCACUAUUACCAACUGUGCCGCCAUAAACACGGGUGCACAUAUAUCUCUGUGGUCAGGACCGCUGCUGUUGCCAGUGCUCUGAGGGCCCAAGAGGAAGAAGCCAGGGCUCACUGAGUGAGAGAGCAGCUGUGCUGUGGCCUCUGACAGCUGGGGACUGAAUGAGAAGGUCCCCAGCUGUCCUGCAGGCCCCAGCACCUGGCCUGGACUGAAUCAGCUGUGGCUGGGUGCUGGGAUCUGCAGAGCUGAGUCCCUGGGGUGGCCCUGAGGCCUUGGCUCUGUUAAUAAAGAGCAGCACUGGGGUGCAUCAAAGUCUCAUCCUACUGCAGAAGAAACUAAGCUCAGAGAGAUUUCCAGCUUCCUCAGAUCAUUGCUCAGAGCAGUGGAUCAAGAACAAGACCCCAGGAUGUCAGCACUAAGGUCAUGUCCUUCUUAGGCUGCCACAUGUGUGGAUAGCUCCACAUGGGCACUGGACAUCCUGGAGGACUUAAGAACAAGAACACAGGAGGAGGUCUAGAUUCCCUGCUUCAGCUCUACCUUAACCUUAUACUCUCUCUCCUCGUUCUGAGCAAUUUCCACAGUCCUCCUAAACUUCAGCACCAGUGUGGCAACCUCGGAACCAGCCUUGCUCACCUGUGCCUCAGUUUCCUACCAGUGGAUGAGGAUACUGUGUGUGUUACAGAUUUCUGAGGCUCCAGGGAGAUGUAGAGUGAGAGGAGCCUAGACGAACGUCCCCACACAGUCAGGGUCCAUGCACUUCAUUGUCAUCCUGCCAUUUGAAGACUGCCCCUUCCAGGACCAACUGGUCUCUGAGCUGGACUUUCCUUCCCAGUGACAUAGGACUCUAAAUGAUAUAUGGGAAAUAGCAUAACUCUCAACCUGUUAGAUUUCACAUACACCAAGUUUGUGUUCUCCAAAAUUAAACAAUGAAUUUUAAGUAACAACGGAGGUUGAGAGUUGGAAAUCUUUUUUAUUUUUUUGGUACCAG